rnacentral:rRNA from 1 species
UUCCGACCCGCACGAAUGGCGUAAUGAUUUGGGCACUGUCUCAACAGCAAAUCCGGCGAAAUUGUAGUACCAGUGAAGAUGCUGGUUACCCGCGAUUGGACGGAAAGACCCCGUAGAGCUUUACUGUAGUUUAGCAUUGAGUUUCGGUAUUGUCUGUACAGGAUAGGUGGGAGGCUGAGAAACAGGACCGUCAGGUUCUGCGGAGCCAUCCUUGGGAUACCACCCUGACAGUACUGGGAUUCUAACUGGAGGCCAUGAAACUGGUCACAGGACAUUGCUAGAUGGGCAGUUUGACUGGGGCGGUCGCCUCCAAAAAAGUAACGGAGGCGCCCAAAGGUUCCCUCAGCGCGGUCGGAAAUCGCGCGAAGAGUGCAAAGGCAGAAGGGAGCCUGACUGCGAGACCUACAAGUCGAGCAGGGACGAAAGUCGGGCUUAGUGAUCCGGUGGUACCUCGUGGGAGGGCCAUCGCUCAACGGAUA